rnacentral:rRNA from 1 species
GACGAACGCUGGCGGCGUGCUUAACACAUGCAAGUCGAACGGAAAGGACCUGCUUUUGUGGGGUGCUCGAGUGGCGAACGGGUGAGUAACACGUGAGUAACCUGCCCUUGACUUUGGGAUAACUCCAGGAAACUGGGGCUAAUACCGGAUAGGAGCUCCUGCUGCAUGGUGGGGGUUGGAAAGUUUCGGCGGUUGGGGAUGGACUCGCGGCUUAUCAGCUUGUUGGUGGGGUAGUGGCUUACCAAGGCUUUGACGGGUAGCCGGCCUGAGAGUGUGACCGGCCACAUUGGGACUGAGAUAGGGCCCAGACUCCUACGGCAGGCAUCAGUAGAGAAUAUUGCACAAUGGGCGGAAGCCUGAUGCAGCAACGCCGCGUGCGGGAUGACUGCCUUCGGGUUGUAAACCGCUUUCGCCUGUAACGAAGCGUGAGUGACGGUAAUGGGUAAAGAAGCACCGGCUAACUACGUG